rnacentral:rRNA from 1 species
UACGGGGGGGGCAAGCGUUGUUCGGAAUUACUGGGCGUAAAGGGCUCGUAGGCGGCCAACUAAGUCAGACGUGAAAUCCCUCGGCUUAACCGGGGAACUGCGUCUGAUACUGGAUGGCUUGAGAUUGGGAGAGGGAUGCGGAAUUCCAGGUGUAGCGGUGAAAUGCGUAGAUAUCUGGAGGAACACCGGUGGCGAAGGCGGCAUCCUGGACCAACACUGACGCUCAUGCACGAAAGCGUGGGGAGCAAACAGG